UACGUAGGGUGCGAGCGUUAAUCGGAAUUACUGGGCGUAAAGCGUGCGCAGGCGGUCUGUUAAGACCGAUGUGAAAUCCCCGGGCUUAACCUGGGAACUGCAUUGGUGACUGGCAGGCUUUGAGUGUGGCAGAGGGGGGUAGAAUUCCACGUGUAGCAGUGAAUGCGUAGAGAUGUGGAGGAAUACCGAUGGCGAAGGCAGCCCCCUGGGCCAACACUGACGCUCAUGCACGAAAGCGUGGGGAGCAAACAGG
rnacentral:rRNA from 1 species